UCCAGUGUAGGAGAAAGAUAAACAAACCCGUGCCAGCAAAACCACAGCACGACUUGUACACAAAAAAAAAAAUAUGACAGUCUCUGCACACAAACUACACCCGGUCUCAUUUCUGAACACAAAGCUUUACCUGCAAAAAGCCUACAACUUCAUCCAGGAUCGAAAAGUCCAAAACUUUACCAGGAAGAAUCCCGGAGCAAAACUGUGUGAUUCAGGAGCAUGAGCAAGCAAGAGAAGAGGAGAUAAUGGAAAAGAAGAAAGAGGCAGAAACACUCAAGCAUUUCCAAGAGGUCUAUGAAAUGGAACAAACCCUGUGCAAGCAGAAGAAGCAAGAGGAAGAGAGAAACAUCAUGAAGGCUUAUCAAGUAGUCAUUUCUUAAACUUGAGGGCAGCGAGCAAAAAAAAAAAGCUGUAAAAAACCCUACAGGGUUAAGGGUUCAGUUCCCUCCUUCACCCUGUGUGCUCUCCAAUUGCAUGUUCUCAUGUUAUAUAAUUGAAUAUAGUGAUUCAAUGUAAUGUGGUGAAUGUAACCACCUCUAGAUUACCAUAAAAUAUGACUAAUCUCCUGUAUUUUCUUUUAAUCUUUAAUCAGGGACACUUUGCAAAUACGAAAAUCUUCCAAGUGUCUGAGGCCGAGAAACAAGAGGUGGAAGAAGAGAAAACGAAGCUUGUUGUUAAGGCUAAAGACAAAAUGUUGAAGCUUGAAAAAAAAUUUUUUAAACCUCAACAUGGUCCAUACACCUUCUCUUUGCCACUUGUUGGAUCAGAUGCUUUUUGUCAGUCAUGGUUACUAGUAUUCUUCAUGCAAAAUUGUAAUUUUACAGUGUACAAGACAUUCUAGAACAUUGUCUGCCUCCAACUUUGGAGAAGACCCACAUAUGGGUGUAGUCAGCUGUCCACAUACAUUUGUCAUAUAAUAUACUGUAACUUAUUUGUGUGAUGAUCAUUUAUUGUUGCAGUGAGUUUCUUGUUGCAGGGAAGUCAUUGCUGACUAACUAGCAGCACAUCUCCAAGAGAAUACCAACAAUGAAGAAGAGCUAAUUUCCAAGGCAGCUGCAGAAGCUAUGGCCAAGCAGGAUGAACAACCAUGUGAGAAGGAGGAGAAGAAAGCAGCCAUGUUGAAGAGCAUUGCUGAACACAGAGAAGCACUGCAAAAAGAGCUGAAGUACAAGAAGCAAGAGGAGAAGCAGAACGCUGCUGAGAUGCUUCAUUCAAGCAAAGCAACAGAUCUCCUUUUCCUUCGAAAGCAUCAAGUCAAGGAUCAGAAAAAAAAGGUAGCAGCCAGAAUGCUACAAGACUCUUAUGUCUAUCAGAUGGUGAAUCAGCUCAAUUUUUUUUUGCUUUAUGUAAAAACUUUAUUUAACAUAACUACAUUUCUUUAGACUUUAUUUAACAUAACUACAAACUAUACUUUUGGCUGCAUCGAAAGUGAGAAGCAUGCAAAGGAGCAGCUCAUGAAAAACCAAGAGCAGGAGUCUACGGAGAGGAAUGCGAAGCUUAUUGCAGAGGAAGAGAAUCAGUUUCAGGACUAUGUGAUUCAGAGAGCUAGCAAGGAGAGCUUGGGGAAACACCUCCCUUUUGCACAAGGCCUCAAAGGUGGGUAUUGGUGGAAGACACAGACCUUUGUUUGGAGGCGUUAGAUCGAGUUAUGAAGUUCAGCAGGAAUCCGGAGUUCAGCUGCCUAGUUAUGUGUGCAGUAGAACUCGAGGCAUAAAGAAGCUGAAUAAGACUAUUGACAUUCAGAAGUCUAAAAAGCAGCUGGGAUUUGCUUGGUUAAUGUGAGCUGUAUUGCUGAUCUUGUGACAAAAGAAACAAAAUUUCCUUUCAGGUGAAUUCAGUGUCUGAGAAUCUGAGUAUUCAGUUAGUGCUGUUGUGUUUUUUAUGUACUUGAAGGAGCAGUUUAUACUUUAAUGUACUAUUCAUUCUGUACUGUACGGUGAAACUCAUAAUGAAAACAUUCAGUCUGAAGGUGCUGCAAACCUGAAAACCUGCAGUUUUAUUCUCCUUUUCACCAGGAUGGCUAUGUGACUGCUCCUACUUGAUGCUGAAUUUGAAGUCUUGUCAGAUUGGUUGUUAAUAAGAGAAUAAAUGGCUAAUGUUAUUUUCAGAAUAAACUGCAAAAUGCCUCUGUUUUAUCUGACUCAGCAUUGUACAUGCUAAAAUAAACAAAAGAAGUCCACAGAGCGUUAAAUACUUGGUGUAAAUAUUAACUAUUCACUACACAUUUUAAAUCAGCUCUGAAUGUGAUAUCCUAUAAAUAUUUUGUAUUUCAGUAUCCGAUCACAUAAUGCAUGUUCAGAUGUUCAGAGUCGAACUGCUGUAUUUUUCGAUAUCGAGAUAAUAAAGUGAAGCUGGAUCUCAGCAUAAGAGAGGUCAAAGCUCUUAAUCGUACUGUGCUUGUGGCAGACCAAACAGUCAAUUUUUUUUAUUUCCUGUCACAGAAAUCUGCAUCCACAUAAAGUCAGGAUUUUUCACUUGGGACAGGCUUUGUGACCAAAGGAGUUCACCUGAUUUUCUCUAAACCCCAUACCUCUAAGGACAUGCCACUGCUUUAUUGGCAUCCGUAACAGUGCAUUUUAAAGCUUAUUUUAAGGCAAACAUUUACAUCUAAAUGGUGACAAUUAUUUUAGACAAUUUUCUUUGCAAAUAACUAGUCAUUAAUGCUAUGUUGCCUAUUUAUGCACUAAGUAAAUCUUGUAAUUUCUAGAUAAAUUAUUAUGCGACACACCUGUGUUUUGUCAAAUCACACCCUCACAUACAUGUCCAUGGUUACCCGAGUCAAAGUCAGGCCUGAAUGAUACUCCGGUGUCUGAGUGUAACAUGGAAAAUAGUAUUGCAUAAUAAUAAAUAUACUCAAAAAACAAAAACCAUACUGAAAAUGGCAAUUUGAAAUGAGCAAUAUAAGCAUUUAAGCACAAUAGCCCUGUGACAGGCAAUUCGGAAAUGUCUUAUUGCAUUGUAUCAUUCGCAUAUAUUUUGGUAUACAUAUAUUUAUUUUCCUAUUUAUUUCCUAGUUCUUUUAUUGUCGUUAACUGCUCUACAGUGGAUGGAAGAAAUCCUACCAAGUGUUGCUCUGAUUCAUACACAUCACUUUUAUUGAGUGGAAAAUCAUCAUGGGAAGACAUUUUAACAGAAAUAACUCUUAUAGGGACCAGCUCGUGUUGGACUGGAGGGUAAUGAGGAGGUGAAUAUUAUAGCUAAGCAGCUAACAUUCAAACAUUCAAAAAACAAUAUAAAUAUAUCAGUAAUAAACUCUGGAAAAAAAGAAUGAACUAAAGUAGCUGUUGGAGCUAUUGUAUUGAUUUGUAAAUUUUGUUCUGGACAUUAAAGUAUUUUGUAUUUUAAGUGUAUUUCAGUAAGGUGAUAAGGGGGUUACAUGUAAGGCACAGGAGGUCAAAAAUGUGUUUGACCAUGCCUGUGUCAGUGUUAUGUGUUGUCUUGAAUAAAAUAUUUGUUUGUUAGUUGAAAGUUGGACUUUAAUGUUUCCUUUUUGUUUGCAAAGCCAAAUGAACAAUAAAUGGAUUUGCAUAUCCAAAUUUAUCCCGAAGGUAUGGGCAGUGUGUUGAAGGUAACGAGUAAUUUAUUGCCCAU